CCUACGGGUGGCAGCAGUGAGGAAUAUUGGUCAAUGGGCGCGAGCCUGAACCAGCCAAGUAGCGUGAAGGAUGACUGCCCUACGGGUUGUAAACUUCUUUUAUAAACUUAUAAAGUGAGUCACGUGUGCCUUUUUGUAUGUACUUUAUGAAUAAGGAUCGGCUAACUCCGUUCCAGCAGCGGCGGUAAUACGGAGGAUCCGAGCGUUAGCCGGAUUUAUUGGGUUUAAAGGGAGCGUAGAUGGGUUGUUAAGUCAGUUGUGAAAGUUUGCGGCUCAACCGUAAAAUUGCAAUUGAUACUGGCAGUCUUGAGUACAGUAGAGGUGGGCGGAAUUCGUGGUGUAGCGGUGAAAUGCUUAGAUAUCACGAAGAACUCCGAUUGCGAAGGCAGCUCACUGGACUGCAACUGACACUGAGGCGCGAAAGUGUGGGUAUCAAACAGGAUUAGAUACCCUUGUAGUC
rnacentral:rRNA from 1 species